GAGUUUGAUCAUGGCUCAGAACGAACGCUGGCGGCAUGCCUAACACAUGCAAGUCGAACGCACGUAGCAAUACGUGAGUGGCGGACGGGUGAGAAGCGCGUGGGUACCUGCCCUGUAGUACGGAAUAACCACGGGAAACUGUGGCUAAUACCGUAUACGCCCCCUGGGGGAAAGAUUUAUCGCUAUAGGAGGGGCCCGCGUCGGAUUAGCUAGUUGGUGAGGUAACGGCUCACCAAGGCGAUGAUCCGUAGCUGGUCUGAGAGGACGACCAGCCACACUGGGACUGAGACACGGCCCAGACUCCUACGGGAGGCAGCAGUGGGGAAUAUUGGACAAUGGGGGAAACCCUGAUCCAGCAAUGCCGCGUGAGUGAAGAAGGCCUUAGGGUUGUAAAGCUCUUUCAGCGGGGAAGAUGAUGACGGUACCCGCAGAAGAAGCCCCGGCUAACUCCGUGCCAGCAGCCG
rnacentral:rRNA from 1 species